GUCUUCCAAAGCCGCUGGCGUAGUCUGCCAGUGUCCCGGCGCCCCGCCAUGGGAGAACUGAGCGCAGGCGGCGAUGACGCCUCCAAGGCUCCAACCCCCCAGGUCCCGGCUGCUUGGGGAUGUGGGCGGCGCUUCGCCGCCCAGCGAUUGCUUCCACCGAGAUGAGGUCGGCGGCGAGCGCUUGCUUAUUUAUAGGGUAAUGUAGAAUAAGAUCAUCGUCCUCGUAGAAAGAAGAUCAGAAGGCCCUUGUUUAUCAUCAGGUGGACAAUAAGAUUUUCAGCGUCUCCUAGCAGCAGUUUCUCUCUGUGCAUUGAAGUAGACAGCAGCUACAGGGAGACCAAGGUCAUUUUCCUCAGCAAACUGCCGGGUGUUGAAAUGAUCCCUGAUGGAUGGCACAGUUACAGUUUGCCUGCGCUUCUGCUUGAAGAGGACAAAAAUGAACCUAUGGAUACCGAUGUUAGGUCUUGGGCUCUCGUAGCUUAUGACCUCUUGCCCUGAAAGACUCAUGGUUAUUAAUUCAAAGAACAACUGGAACAUGGAAUCAACUAAGCACGAGCCACGAGCCAGUUGAAUAACCUACCAAAGGAGGCAUCUGUCGUACCAGGUAUAUCAGUCACGAUCCUGCAAAUGUAAAGGAUGAAAUUUAGCCACUCCACUCUUUCUUUAAGUGCUUGGGGACCAUGUUAUUUUUUAUGUAUGCAAGAUGAGCUAUCUUGCAAUCCCUGAGGUAAAGAAAUGCUGAAUAUUACCAGUGAAGGUGCUCCCUUAGAUAUGGAUCACUUGGUCCUGGGACAUCUGGAUCUGUCAUCACCUGAAAUUCAAAGAACUUUGGCCAUUAAGGAAGGAAUGGUACAUAUAGAAUGGUUGGAUUCAGCUGUGAAGCAUUUGACUGCUAACCAAUGUAAAGAAAGACCGCAAAUCACCCCCUUGAACCUCCACUCUUGGUUUAGAUGCAACUGCUGAUGGGUAGAUCUCAUGGCCAUUGAAGACAAGCUUGUUUGAGUUGUAGGUCACUAUCAUCUUUAUACAUGGGUUAAAGGAGUCGAGAACUUCUCCAAUCACCCGACCGACUAUGAGAGGCUCCACAGACCUAGACAUGGUUUGAGGGUCAGGUAUUUGUAUUUUACACAACAAAUGAUCUGACUGAAUGCAGUGAGCUAUUGCACUCAAAGAUAUGCUGUGAACGGCUUAUUGCGCACUGGUAGAGUACAAGCCUCUAUUUAUAGUGGUUUGGUGCCUGCUGCCGACUGUAGGAUCAAAGAGGAUGUGAAGCAUGUGUGUUUCUUUAGUUGGGUAUGCUGUGGGUGCAGCUGAAAAGGCAACAGGAAGAUUGUACCGCUUUUUCCAAGAAAGCCAACAAAGAGUGUUAUAUCUUCUCUAUCAAUUAUAGACAGAAUCUAUGCAAGCAUUGCUUCGUGUAUCUUCAUUGAAGUUCUUGGAAUAAAGCAUUAUUUCCCUCAAAA